GUCCAACCUCCCACCCGUGUCUAUCGUACCUUGUUGCUUCGGCGGGCCCGCCGUUUCGACGGCCGCCGGGGAGGCCUUGCGCCCCCGGGCCCGCGCCCGCCGAAGACCCCAACAUGAACGCUGUUCUGAAAGUAUGCAGUCUGAGUUGAUUAUCGUAAUCAGUUAAAACUUUCAACAACGGAUCUCUUGGUUCCGGCAUCGAUGAAGAACGCAGCGAAAUGCGAUAAGUAAUGUGAAUUGCAGAAUUCAGUGAAUCAUCGAGUCUUUGAACGCACAUUGCGCCCCCUGGUAUUCUCGGGGGGCAUGCACUGUCCGAGCGUCAUUGCUGCCGACAUCAAGCCCGGCUUGUGUGUUGGGCACCUCGUCCCCCGGCUCCCGGGGGACGGGCCCAGAAAGGCAGCGGCGGCACCGCGUCCGGUCCUCGAGCGUAUGGGGCUUCGUCUUCCGCUCCGUAGGCCCAGGCCGGCGCCCGCCACGCAGUUUAUUU
rnacentral:rRNA from 1 species